rnacentral:tRNA from 1 species
AAAAGUAUAGCAUAAGAAAAUGCAAUUCACUUACAUUGAAUAGAUAGUUAUAAAUUUGACUUACUUUUA